UGGGGAAUAUUGGACAAUGGGCGAAAGCCUGAUCCAGCAAUGCCGCGUGAGUGAAGAAGGCCUUAGGGUUGUAAAGCUCUUUCGCCCGCGACGAUGAUGACGGUAGCGGGAGAAGAAGCCCCGGCUAAUUCCGUGCCAGCAGCCGCGGUAAUACGGAAGGGGCUAGCGUUGUUCGGAAUCACUGGGCGUAAAGCGCGCGUAGGCGGCCGGUCAAGUGCGGCGUGAAAGUCCUGGGCUCAACCCGGGGACGGCGCUGCGGACUGUCCGGCUGGAGUCCGGAAGAGGGUGGUGGAAUUCCGAGUGUAGAGGUGAAAUUCGUAGAUAUUCGGAGGAACACCGGUGGCGAAGGCGGCCACCUGGUCCGGUACUGACGCUCAAGCGAGGAAGCGUGGGGAGCAAACAGG
rnacentral:rRNA from 1 species